UACGUAGGGUGCAAGCGUUAUCCGGAAUCAUUGGGCGUAAAGCGCGUGUAGGCGGUUCACCAAGUCCGCUCUGAAAGCCCAGGGCUCAACCCUGGGAGGCGGGUGGAUACUGGUGGACUAGAGUCCGGAAGAGGAGAUUGGAAUUCCUGGUGUAGCGGUGAAAUGCGCAGAUAUCAGGAGGAACACCAACAGCGAAGGCAGACCUCUGGGACGUGACUGACGCUGAGACGCGAAAGCGUGGGGAGCAAACAGG
rnacentral:rRNA from 1 species